rnacentral:rRNA from 1 species
UGCAUAUCAAUAAGCGGAGGAAAAGAAACCAACAGGGAUUGCCCCAGUAACGGCGAGUGAAGCGGCAACAGCUCAAAAUUUGAAAUCUGGCCCCUAGGGCCCGAGUUGUAAUUUGCAGAGGAUGCUUUUGGCGAGGUGCCUUCCGAGUUCCCUGGAACGGGACGCCAUAGAGGGUGAGAGCCCCGUCUGGUUGGAUGCCGAGCCUCUGUAAAGCUCCUUCGACGAGUCGAGUAGUUUGGGAAUGCUGCUCUAAAUGGGAGGUAUAUGUCUUCUAAAGCUAAAUACCGGCCAGAGACCGAUAGCGCACAAGUAGAGUGAUCGAAAGAUGAAAAGCACUUUGAAAAGAGGGUUAAAUAGUACGUGAAAUUGUUGAAAGGGAAGCACUUAUGACCAGACUUGGACCCGGUGAAUCAUCCAGCGUUCUCGCUGGUGCACUUUGCCGGGCUCAGGCCAGCAUCAGUUUGCCUCGGGGGAUAAAGGCUUUGGGAAUGUGGCUCCCUCGGGAGUGUUAUAGCCCAUUGCACAAUACCCUGGGGCGGACUGAGGUUCGCGCAUCUGCAAGGAUGCUGGCGUAAUGGUCAUCAGUGACCCGUCUUGAAACACGGACCA